AUUGAACGCUGGCGGCAGGCCUAACACAUGCAAGUCGAACGGUAGCAGGAAGAAGCUUGCUUCUUUGCUGACGAGUGGCGGACGGGUGAGUAAUGUCUGGGAAACUGCCUGAUGGAGGGGGAUAACUACUGGAAACGGUAGCUAAUACCGCAUAACGUCGCAAGACCAAAGAGGGGGACCUUCGGGCCUCUUGCCAUCAGAUGUGCCCAGAUGGGAUUAGCUAGUAGGUGGGGUAACGGCUCACCUAGGCGACGAUCCCUAGCUGGUCUGAGAGGAUGACCAGCCACACUGGAACUGAGACACGGUCCAGACUCCUACGGGAGGCAGCAGUGGGGAAUAUUGCACAAUGGGCGCAAGCCUGAUGCAGCCAUGCCGCGUGUGUGAAGAAGGCCUUCGGGUUGUAAAGCACUUUCAGCGGGGAGGAAGGGGGAAUGGUUAAUAACCAUUGCCAUUGACGUUACCCGCAGAAGAAGCACCGGCUAACUCCGUGCCAGCCGCCGCCGUAA
rnacentral:rRNA from 1 species